rnacentral:tRNA from 1 species
AGUGGCGUCGAGUAACGGUUACUCAAUUGCCUCAUAAGCAACAGUCAAUAGGUUCGACUCCUAUCGCCACGU